rnacentral:lncRNA from 1 species
AUCAAUGCCAUACCUGACUGGUCUAUGGAUGGUAUGCUGGGGCUUGUGUAGUGCCACUCCUACUGGUGCAUUCCUUCCAUCUGAUGUCUGUGGCUCCUCCUAAAGAAAACAUCGAUAGUUCUAUGUAUGCAAUUUUAAAAAUUUUAGCAGAAGUAGGUUAGAUUAAACUAUUUAAUCUACAUUACAUGCAUAAGAUUAUAUCUAAACUACCAAUUAAGAAUCUAUGACAUGAGUUUACAUGCAAUUAAAAUAUGAAAUUAAAGAAAUCUUGCAUCGAUCAUAUCGACGCACUUGAUC